UACAGAGGGGGCAAGCGUUGUUCGGAAUUACUGGGCGUAAAGGGCGCGUAGGCGGCCUUCUAAGUCGAACGUGAAAUCCCCGGGCUCAACCCGGGAACUGCGUCCGAUACUGGAAGGCUUGAAUCCGGGAGAGGGAUGCGGAAUUCCAGGUGUAGCGGUGAAAUGCGUAGAUAUCUGGAGGAACACCGGUGGCGAAGGCGGCAUCCUGGACCGGUAGUUGACGCUGACGUGCGCGAAAGCCAGGG
rnacentral:rRNA from 1 species